ACAGGGAUUGCCCUAGUAACGGCGAGUGAAGCGGCAACAGCUCAAAUUUGAAAUCUGGCUCUUUUAGAGUCCGAGUUGUAAUUUGCAGAGGGCGCUUUGGCUUUGGCAGCGGUCCAAGUUCCUUGGAACAGGACGUCACAGAGGGUGAGAAUCCCGUACGUGGUCGCUGGCUAUUGCCGUGUAAAGCCCCUUCGACGAGUCGAGUUGUUUGGGAAUGCAGCUCUAAAUGGGAGGUACAUUUCUUCUAAAGCUAAAUAUUGGCCAGAGACCGAUAGCGCACAAGUAGAGUGAUCGAAAGAUGAAAAGCACUUUGGAAAGAGAGUCAAACAGCACGUGAAAUUGUUGAAAGGGAAGCGCUUGCAGCCAGACUUGCUUGCAGUUGCUCAUCCGGGCUUUUUUGCCCGGUGCACUCUUCUGUAGGCAGGCCAGCAUCAGUUUGGGCGGUAGGAUAAAGGUCUCUGUCACGUACCUCCUUUCGGGGAGGCCUUAUAGGGGAGGCGACAUACUACCAGCCUGGACUGAGGUCCGCGCAUCUGCUAGGAUGCUGGCGUAAUGGCUGUAAGCGGCCCGUCUUGAAACACGGACCAAGGAGUCUAACAUCUAUGCGAGUGUUUGGGUGUCAAGCCCGAGCGCGUAAUGAAAGUGAACGGAGGUGGGAACCCGCAAGGGUGCACCAUCGACCGAUCCUGAUGUCUUCGGAAGGAUUUGAGUAAGAGCAUGGCUGUUGGGACCCGAAAGAUGGUGAACUAUGCUUGAAUAGGGUGAAGCCAGAGGAAACUCUGGUGGAGGCUCGCAGCGGUUCUGACGUGCAAAUCGAUCGUCAAAUUUGGGCAUAGGGGCGAAAGACUAAU
rnacentral:rRNA from 1 species